rnacentral:rRNA from 1 species
GGCGAACGCUGGCGGUGUGCCUAACACAUGCAAGUCGAACGGUGGAACGCUUUCCGCUUUGUCGGGCGGGGGGGGAGGGCGGGACGGGGAGGGAAAACUGCGGAAUCUGCCCCCUUCUUCUGGAUAACCGCGUGAAACUUAGGCUAAUACCGCAUACUCCCUGCGUGUGAAAGCAUGGGUUCGUGGAAGAUAUUGUGUUGGAUGGGGCCGGGGUCGGGGCCUAUCAGGUUGGUGGGGUGGUGAUGGCCUAACGAGGCGGUGACGGGGAGCGGUGCUGAGAGGAUGGACGGUCACAGUGGGACUGAGACACGGCGCAGACUCCUACGGGAGGCAGCGGGGAGGAAUAGUGCACAGUGGGAGGAAGCCUGAUGCAGCGACGCCGCGUGAGGGAUGGAGGCCUGCGUGUUGUGAACCUCUUUCGGCAGUGAAGCAGGCCUGCCUAGUUUGUGGGUGGUUUGACGGUAGCUGGAGAAGAAGCGCCGGCUAACUACGUG